rnacentral:rRNA from 1 species
AUUGAACGCUGGCGGCAUGCUUUACACAUGCAAGUCGAACGGUAACAGGCCGCAAGGUGCUGACGAGUGGCGAACGGGUGAGUAAUGCAUCGGAACGUGCCCAGUCGUGGGGGAUAACUACUCGAAAGAGUAGCUAAUACCGCAUACGAUCUAUGGAUGAAAGCGGGGGACCGUAAGGCCUCGCGCGAUUGGAGCGGCCGAUGUCAGAUUAGGUAGUUGGUGGGGUAAAGGCUCACCAAGCCAACGAUCUGUAGCUGGUCUGAGAGGACGACCAGCCACACUGGGACUGAGACACGGCCCAGACUCCUACGGGAGGCAGCAGUGGGGAAUUUUGGACAUUGGGCGCAAGCCUGAUCCAGCAAUGCCGCGUGCAGGAAGAAGGCCUUCGGGUUGUAAACUGCUUUUGUACGGAACGAAACGGCUCUGGUUAAUACCCGGGGCUAAUGACGGUACCGUAAGAAUAAGCACCGGCUAACUACGUG